GUCCAGCUGACGAGUCCCGAAUAGGACGAAACGUGCGUCCUGGAU
rnacentral:hammerhead_ribozyme from 1 species